AAUAGAAGUCAAAGGAAUUUGUAACUGGCUGCUACAUCGGAAGGCUCGAUAUAUCUUUAGAAAAUGACGAUAUCUAACAUUUACGGGGUGAAAUCUAUCCAAGUCAGAGAAAAUCGGAUAGCCGCCAUGUUGUCAAUAUUGACAUCGAUACAAAGGAAAAGCGUGUGUGUGACGCAUACUGUAAAUGCAAACAAGGAAAUUGUGGAACAUGUUCACACACUGGCUGUAAAAGUAGACCUGGGAGGAAAAGUGCCCCCAGUGUGGGGCUCGAACUCACAACCACCAGAACACUAGCCCGGCACUCUAACCAACUAAGCUGACCGGGCAGCUGGUUCUAACCCACACACACUACCCUGCCCCCAUUUACCGGUUAAGGCUGGUGGAGGGUCUCCUGCUAUUUACCGUUGACACCAUUAAAGUAUUCUGAUUGUCUUCAACAAGCCUACCGCCACAGGAGACCUAGCCCCCCCCCCCCCCCCCCCCCCACACACACACACGAUAUUUGCCAGUCCAGGCAAUGUCAACCGCAAGAGAAAACCAGUGAUGACAAGUUUUACAAAUAAUCGGAAAGUGUGGUCUUUUGAAGAGAGUUCUUGAAGUUGUUCAGCAUGUUGUUUUGACGGAUUCUUGGAAGGAUGUACCUCUAUGAUGUUAGCUCCAGUUCUGGAAUAUAACACCAGUUGUUGCAUAUUUAAUAUCAGAUUUAUUAAAUACAUUGUUGUUUUGCAAACAUUACUUAAACUUUGAUAUUUCUUUGGUGUUUAUGUAUGAUAUUGUAGGUGAAUAUCUCUUUAUUGCAAUGGCAAAUAUAUUUUAAAAUAUAUAGCAUUAGCAGAAGUUAUUUUUCACUGUUAAAGCUGCACUUUCACAGAUUGAUCACUUUGACAACUUACACAGGAUUCGAUUGCAUUUAUCAUAUUUUGGCUCGGAGAAGUUUGCUUUGUGAUUUAUAUAUUAGGUCUUAAUUUAAAGAAUGCCAAAAUAAGCCGAUUCUGAGACAAAAAGUGUCAAACUAGAAUUCUGUGAGAGUGCAACUUUAAGAAUACUGUUAAUCGAGUGUGCAUGUGAUCCGGACUCUGAACAUUGGAUGAACUAUCAUUAAAUAUUGUAGAUUUACGUAAAUGGCCCAAAAUAUAAGAAUAACAAUGAAAAUAUGUA